AUAGAUGUAGUUUAAAGGUAGAAUGCCAGUUUGCAGGUUGGCAGUGAGGGUUCGAUUCCCUUCGUCCGCU
rfam:Paenibacillus polymyxa SC2 plasmid pSC2, complete sequence.